AAGCGCUUAUGACCAGACUUGUGCCGGGCGGAUCAUCCUGUGUUCUCACUGGUGCACUCCGUCCGGUUCAGGCCAGCAUCGGUUCGCUGUGGGGGAUAAAGGCUUUGGGAAUGUGGCUCCUCCGGGAGUGUUAUAGCCCAUUGUGUAAUACCCUGUGGUGGACUGAGGUUCGCGCAUCUGCAAGGAUGCUGGCGUAAUGGUCAUCAGCGA
rnacentral:rRNA from 1 species